rnacentral:rRNA from 1 species
UACGGAGGGGGCUAGCGUUGUUCGGAAUUACUGGGCGUAAAGCGCACGUAGGCGGGUUUGUAAGUAGGGGGUGAAAUCCCAGGGCUCAACCCUGGAACUGCCUUCUAAACUGCAAGCCUGGAGGUCAGGAGAGGCGAGUGGAAUACCGAGUGUAGAGGUGAAAUUCGUAGAUAUUCGGUGGAACACCAGUGGCGAAGGCGACUCGCUGGACUGAUACUGACGCUGAGGUGCGAAAGCGUGGGGAGCAAACAGG